UACGUAGGGUGCGAGCGUUGUCCGGAAUUAUUGGGCGUAAAGAGCGUGUAGGCGGUCCGGUAAGUCCGCUGUGAAAGUCGGGGGCUCAACCCUCGAAUGCCGGUGGAUACUGUCGGGCUAGAGUGCGGAAGAGGCGAGUGGAAUUCCUGGUGUAGCGGUGAAAUGCGCAGAUAUCAGGAGGAACACCGGUGGCGAAGGCGGGUCUCUGGGCCGAUACUGACGCUGAGGAGCGAAAGCGUGGGGAGCGAACAGG
rnacentral:rRNA from 1 species